rnacentral:rRNA from 1 species
UGGGGAAUAUUGCACAAUGGGCGCAAGCCUGAUGCAGCCAUGCCGCGUGUGUGAAGAAGGCCUUAGGGUUGUAAAGCACUUUCAGCGAGGAGGAAGGCAUCACACUUAAUACGUGUGGUGAUUGACGUUACUCGCAGAAGAAGCACCGGCUAACUCCGUGCCAGCAGCCGCGGUAAUACGGAGGGUGCAAGCGUUAAUCGGAAUUACUGGGCGUAAAGCGCACGCAGGCGGUUUGUUAAGUCAGAUGUGAAAUCCCCGCGCUUAACGUGGGAACUGCAUUUGAAACUGGCAAGCUAGAGUCUUGUAGAGGGGGGUAGAAUUCCAGGUGUAGCGGUGAAAUGCGUAGAGAUCUGGAGGAAUACCGGUGGCGAAGGCGGCCCCCUGGACAAAGACUGACGCUCAGGUGCGAAAGCGUGGGGAGCAAAACAGGAUUAGAGUACCCUGGUAGUCCACG